rnacentral:rRNA from 1 species
AACGAACGCUGGCGGCAUGCCUAACACAUGCAAGUCGAACGAGACCUUCGGGUCUAGUGGCGCACGGGUGCGUAACGCGUGGGAACCUGCCCUUAGGUUCGGAAUAACUCCCCGAAAGGGGUGCUAAUACCGGAUAAUGUCUUCGGACCAAAGAUUUAUCGCCUUUGGAUGGGCCCGCGUUGGAUUAGCUAGUUGGUAGGGUAAAAGCCUACCAAGGCGACGAUCCAUAGCUGGUCUGAGAGGAUGAUCAGCCACACUGGGACUGAGACACGGCCCAGACUCCUACGGGAGGCAGCAGUGGGGAAUAUCGGACAAUGGGCGAAAGCCUGAUCCAGCAAUGCCGCGUGAGUGAUGAAGGCCUUAGGGUUGUAAAGCUCUUUUACCCGGGAUGAUAAUGACAGUACCGGGAGAAUAAGCGCCGGCUAACUCCGUG